rnacentral:sRNA from 1 species
ACCACACUUACCGUCUACUAGGCCUACUACUUAACGCAUCUUGUUUGCGCGGUAUGCCGGUGGACGGAGUUCAGAGCUGAUUCAGCCCACCCUCAUAACAAACCCGCGCUACUGCGCGGGUUUUUUU